rnacentral:rRNA from 1 species
UGGGGAAUUUUGGACAAUGGGCGAAAGCCUGAUCCAGCAAUGCCGCGUGUGUGAAGAAGGCCUUCGGGUUGUAAAGCACUUUUGUCCGGAAAGAAAUCCUUGGCUCUAAUACAGUCGGGGGAUGACGGUACCGGAAGAAUAAGCACCGGCUAACUACGUGCCAGCAGCCGCGGUAAUACGUAGGGUGCAAGCGUUAAUCGGAAUUACUGGGCGUAAAGCGUGCGCAGGCGGUUUGCUAAGACCGAUGUGAAAUCCCCGGGCUCAACCUGGGAACUGCAUUGGUGACUGGCAGGCUAGAGUAUGGCAGAGGGGGGUAGAAUUCCACGUGUAGCAGUGAAAUGCGUAGAGAUGUGGAGGAAUACCGAUGGCGAAGGCAGCCCCCUGGGCCAAUACUGACGCUCAUGCACGAAAGCGUGGGGAGCAAGCAGGAUUAGAUACCCUGGUAGUCCACGCCCUAAACGAUGUCAACUAGUUGUUGGGGAUUCAUUUCCUUAGUAACGUAGCUAACGCGUGAAGUUGACCGCCUGGGGAGUACGGUCGCAAGAUUAAAACUCAAAUGAAUUGACGGGGUCAUAGCUGUUUCCU